rnacentral:misc_RNA from 1 species
GUGAAUCAUCGAAUUUUUGAACGCAAAUUGCACUCUCUUGGGAGAGUAUGAGUGUUUGAGGGUCAGAAUAAAAAAAAUCGACGUAGUCGAUGUUUUGGGGUUACAUUCGUUGGAAAUUGGGCCAUCUUUAACCUUUGGGAUUUUUAAGGGGCUUAAAAUCUUGUUUACGAUUCUACGAAUGUUUCUAAGAUUUUACUUCUUACACACGUUU